rnacentral:rRNA from 1 species
AUUGAACGCUGGCGGCAGGCCUAACACAUGCAAGUCGAACGAGUGGCGGACGGGUGAGUAAUGUCUGGGAAACUGCCUGAUGGAGGGGGAUAACUACUGGAAACGGUAGCUAAUACCGCAUACCAUCGGAUGUGCCCAGAUGGGAUUAGCUAGUGGGUGGGGUAAAGGCUCACCUAGGCGACGAUCCCUAGCUGGUCUGAGAGGAUGACCACCCACACUGGAACUGAGACCGGGUCCAACCUCCUAGGGGGGCCAGCGGUGGGAAUUAUGGCAAAAGGGGCGAAAGCCUAUAGCAGCAAUGCCGGGUGUGUGAAGAGGGCCUUGGGGUUGUAAAGUACUUUCAGCGGGAAGACGUUACCCGAAGAAAAGGCACCGACUAACUCGGUGCCAGCGGCCGGGGUAAUU